CUACAAUCAUGCUAACACUCUUCAAACUCAAGAUGGUAUAGUAUAUGCCAACUUAAGUUAAUUUGAAAACUAGAUUACGAAUGUACUCAAAAAUUGACGUGAUAGAUCAGGAGCUGACAUAACAUCAAGGAGACUGAUGUGGUAGAUCAAGAGAGAUCAUAACAGUUCUGUCGAAGUGGAUUGACAUAUCUGAUGACAUGAUUGUGAGAAGGCACA
rnacentral:lncRNA from 1 species